rnacentral:rRNA from 1 species
UACGGAGGGUGCAAGCGUUAUUCGGAAUUACUGGGCGUAAAGCGCACGUAGGCCGCUUUGUAAGUCAGGGGUGAAAUCCCACGGCUCAACCGUGGAACUGCCUUUGAAACUGCAGGGCUUGAAUCCUGGAGAGGGUGGCGGAAUUCCUGGUGUAGGAGUGAAAUCCGUAGAUAUCAGGAGGAACACCGGUGGCGAAGGCGGCCACCUGGACAGGUAUUGACGCUGAGGUGCGAAAGUGUGGGGAGCAAACAGG